AAGUGUGCUCGUGCAUUGUUCGCCAUUUUGUCUGCGUGUUUUUUCAACGUGUUCUCUGAAAAGUUCAAGAGAUUUGUUCGAAAAAGUGUUUUAUAAGUGACUUAUUCAGUCUGUGGCUCUCAGAAUACGAGGAGGAAGUUCUCCUAAGUCAUAAGACCUGGGGUAGCAGUGUCCGUGUCCCUAUCAGCAGAGACGAGCUGAGAGGCUGUGUCGACGGAGGCCAACCCAAGUACUGGCUUCACACUGUGCGGCGAGCCGGCGAGUUCAGCAGACGCUGAGUUACCAUGGUUACAGGUCAGCAUUAGAUGACUGUCGUGUGAUUGUGGAUGAAGAGGAUUCAUCAAUAGUCUCCAGCCUGUCCAGAGCUACGGUGGAGUGAGACCAAAUAAUUGACACCCGUCAACUGAACUCUCAGAAGUUCCACGAACUAUUGGGAUCGACUCAGUCUUGAACUGAGGACUGCCAGACUUAACCGGUCCCGAACAGUUGCUUUAAUAUUAGUGUACACACACCGAGUGAGUUCCCGGGAACAAACAACUAUAGGGCCUGGUCGACCAUAUCCUUUUUUUUGGAAACAUUGUAUUGCAUUUUUAUUAUACUGUUGUUGUUGAGAGUUGUUCUAAGAAAUAACUAAGAAUAAAGAUUGAUUGUUUGAGAUCAUUCCAUA